UACGUAGGUGACAAGCGUUGUCCGGCUUUACUGGGCGUAAAGAGCGCGCAGGCGGUCGAUCAAGUCGAGUGUGAAAGCCCCCGGCUCAACUGGGGAGGGUCAUUCGAUACUGAUCGACUCGAAGGCAGGAGAGGGUAGUGGAAUUCCCGGUGUAGUGGUGAAAUGCGUAGAUAUCGGGAGGAACACCAGUGGCGAAGGCGACUACCUGGCCUGUUCUUGACGCUGAGGCGCGAAAGCUAGGGGAGCAAACGGG
rnacentral:rRNA from 1 species